rnacentral:rRNA from 1 species
CCUACGGGUGGCAGCAGUGGGGGAUAUUGCACAAUGGGGGAAACCCUGAUGCAGCGACGCCGCGUGAGUGAAGAAGUAUUUCGGUAUGUAAAGCUCUAUCAGCAGGGAAGAAAAUGACAGUACCUGACCAAGAAGCCCCGGCUAACUACGUGCCAGCAGCCGCGGUAAUACGUAGUGGUCAAACUUUAUCCUGCUUGUCUGGUUGUAAAGGGAGCGUAGACGGUUAUGUAAGUCUGGAGUGAAAGCACGGGGCCCAACCCCGGGACUGCUUUGGAAACUGUGUAACUGGAGUACAGGAGGGGCAGGCGGAAUUCCUGGGGUAGCGGUGAAAGGCGUAGAUAUCAGGAGGAACACCGGCGGCGAAGGCGGCCUGCUGGACUGAAACUGACGUUGAGGCUCGAAAGCGUGGGGAGCAAACAGGAUUAGAUACCCCUGUAGUC